ACGCUGGCGGCGUGCCUAAUACAUGCAAGUCGAGCGAACAGACGAGGAGCUUACUCCUCUGACGUUAGCGGCGGACGGGUGAGUAACACGUGGAUAACCUACCUAUAAGACUGGGAUAACUUCGGGAAACCGGAGCUAAUACCGGAUAACAUGUUGAACCGCAUGGUUCAACAGUGAAAGACGGUCUUGCUGUCACUUAUAGAUGGAUCCGCGUCGCAUUAGCUAGUUGGUAAGGUAACGGCUUACCAAGGCAACGAUGCGUAGCCGACCUGAGAGGGUGAUCGGCCACACUGGAACUGAGACACGGUCCAGACUCCUACGGGAGGCAGCAGUAGGGAAUCUUCCGCAAUGGGCGAAAGCCUGACGGAGCAACGCCGCGUGAGUGAAGAAGGUCUUCGGAUCGUAAAACUCUGUUAUUAGGGAAGAACAAAUGUGUAAGUAACUAUGCACGUCUUGACGGUACCUAAUCAGAAAGCCACGGCUAACUACGUGCCAGCAGCCGCGGUAAUACGUAGGUGGCAAGCGUUAUCCGGAAUUAUUGGGCGUAAAGCGCGCGUAGGCGGUUUUUUAAGUCUGAUGUGAAAGCCCACGGCUCAACCGUGGAGGGUCAUUGGAAACUGGAAAACUUGAGUGCAGAAGAGGAAAGUGGAAUUCCAUGUGUAGCGGUGAAAUGCGCAGAGAUAUGGAGGAACACCAGUGGCGAAGGCGACUUUCUGGUCUGUAACUGACGCUGAUGUGCGAAAGCGUGGGGAUCAAACAGGAUUAGAUACCCUGGUAGUCCACGCCGUAAACGAUGAGUGCUAAGUGUUAGGGGGUUUCCGCCCCUUAGUGCUGCAGCUAACGCAUUAAGCACUCCGCCUGGGGAGUACGACCGCAAGGUUGAAACUCAAAGGAAUUGACGGGGACCCGCACAAGCGGUGGAGCAUGUGGUUUAAUUCGAAGCAACGCGAAGAACCUUACCAAAUCUUGACAUCCUCUGACCCCUCUAGAGAUAGAGUUUUCCCCUUCGGGGGACAGAGUGACAGGUGGUGCAUGGUUGUCGUCAGCUCGUGUCGUGAGAUGUUGGGUUAAGUCCCGCAACGAGCGCAACCCUUAAGCUUAGUUGCCAUCAUUAAGUUGGGCACUCUAAGUUGACUGCCGGUGACAAACCGGAGGAAGGUGGGGAUGACGUCAAAUCAUCAUGCCCCUUAUGAUUUGGGCUACACACGUGCUACAAUGGACAAUACAAAGGGUAGCGAAACCGCGAGGUCAAGCAAAUCCCAUAAAGUUGUUCUCAGUUCGGAUUGUAGUCUGCAACUCGACUACAUGAAGCUGGAAUCGCUAGUAAUCGUAGAUCAGCAUGCUACGGUGAAUACGUUCCCGGGUCUUGUACACACCGCCCGUCACACCACGAGAGUUUGUAACACCCGAAGCCGGUGGAGUAACCUUUUGGAGCUAGCCGUCGAAGGUGGGACAAAU
rnacentral:rRNA from 1 species